rnacentral:rRNA from 1 species
UACGAAGGGUGCAAACGUUGCUCGGAUUUACUGGGCGUAAAGGGCGCGUAGGCGGCCACCGCAAGUCGACUGUGAAAUCUCCGGGCUUAACCCGGAAAGGUCAGCCGAUACUGCGGGGCUAGAGUGCAGAAGGGGCAACUGGAAUUCUCGGUGUAGCGGUGAAAUGCGUAGAUAUCAGGAGGAACACCGGUGGCGAAGGCGGUUCUCUGGGCAUGUCCUGACGCUGAGGAGCGAAAGCGUGGGGAGCGAACGGG